GGCUCUGUGGCGCAAUGGAUAGCGCAUUGGACUUCUAGUGUGGAAGCUGAAGGCAUUCAAAGGUUGCGGGUUCGAGUCCCGCCAGAGUCG
rnacentral:tRNA from 1 species